rnacentral:lncRNA from 1 species
CUGCUCAUCAAUCUUCUGUCUGAGUUGUGUCUGGCUCAGAAUAUCGUCCUCACAUCCUCUGCGGAUAACCUCCAGCAGUUAGUCAUCGUUCAAGCAUUGAACUUUUCACUUGAGAAUCUUUGCUCCCUGCAGUUUAAUGCGGUGAAGAACAAGCACUACAGCCCGUCGCAAAUUUACCUCCUUAAACUCGCGCUUUUGAAGCUACUUCUGCAGAUUGUCCUAAAAUGAAAGACCAGUCUACUUUCUCUGCGAUAAUCUUGAACUCGGGCGUUGUCCCGAUUCUGAUACGACUUUUGGAGGACAUUGUCCCCAAAUACCAAGAAGAUAAGCCCCCUGUCGAACCACAAAUCCUCCAAGAGUUCAUUUUCGGGUCUCUGUAUCUACUCAUACUUAUUUUAGACUAUUUCCUCAAGCAGAAAUCUUUCUUGCAGAAGGACAAAACUCUAGCGAACGACAAGCUUUCGAACUUCCUGCAGAUCUUUCAAAACGUCAUCGACAGCUACAAUGGGAAAUUGGUUUACAAGAUCAUUGAAAUUAUUUUGAACUUCCCGUCUAUCAGUUUCAAAUAACUGAUUAUCGCAUCAAAAAGCUUAUCUUCUUGAUAGGUGAAAUGAUAAUUACUAUAAAGCGGAUUCGCGCCAAAGUCAAUCACAGUGAAAAAUGCAAGCGCUCAAAGCAUAAACAGUGUUUGUCUUCAUUCCUGGCCGCAUCUAGUCACCACCAUGAUUCCUUCGGUCACGUUUACACAAACACAAUUUCUCUGCUUCCUAUUCGUCUGUGAAAUACACCUGUGCUGUGACAUCGCUCACCAACCUUCUUGUCAAACUUCUGAAUGAAAAAUGAACAGUGAACUGUUUAGUUAUAUUCUUCAGGUCUUAAAAAUGUGUGGGACAUGUUGUUGUUUCAACAUUUCGCACCUGCUUGGCAAGUUUCUCAACAUCCUCAGUCUUGAUCCGCGUUGUAUUGAUCUAGCGCUCAAAGUUCUCGAGGAAAAAAUGUUCUAUGACCUGGGCGUCAUCGAAGGAAUCUCUCAAUGCAAGGUCUGUUUUGGGAAAGUUGCAUCGCCAACCAACACCGACUCUCUAUCGAGCUUUGUCAACUACAAGAAACUCUUCUUGUCUGCGGAGCCAAAAAUCGCUAAACCUGUCGCAAUCCACCUUCUGAAAUUGGUGCCGUUCUUCAUCAAGUCCAUACAGCGCAUCCUUCUCAUAGAGGUGUUCUACCCCAGUUUCGUUGAAACCAAGUCGGCUUGCAGUCUGAGUGACCUCCAAAAAGCGGAGAAGUCGAUCAUGGCCAACUGUCUGUCAGCGUUCAUCCACCUCAUCAACUACGGGCAGCUCCACGAGGAGUUCAUGCAGCUCGGAGGUCUGAAGCACCUCGAAGACUUGAUCACGAUCCACGAUUUCACCAAGCUCUGUGCGCUCAUUUUAGAGACGAUCAUAGUCGUGAAGGUUUCAUCCAGCCGCAGCAUCAAAAUAGGUAUAUUACUUUUCUCGUUUGAUCAUUUAGUGUUGCUGCAGUCUCUGAAAGUCCCCACUUUCAGUAGCAAAAACGCAUAUUUUUUACAAAG